UUUCGUCGUGUACGGAUUGGAGUGCGUGUGCCUGUGCGAAUGGCCCAAAGGCGAAGGCUAAUGGCCCCCAAAACGGCCAAGCGACGACGACAAGCAUUUACAAGCUGUGGCCACAAACUGUGCGACGAGAGACAAGUGCAAUAGGCCAACGCAGGUGCUCGGCAGUGUAUACCCUGUACAGAAAGGAUACCCUUCUUAAGGAGGUGUAUUAUGAUCCCGACGAAAGGAAGGAAUCUAUCUAUUUGGAGCUCUAAAGUGUAUAUUUUCUGGAUUAGUAUCAACUAAGGAGUCGACUAGGCCAUGCCCGAAUCGGCUCACUAUAUCACAGGAUCACUUGGAACUAGUUUUCAGAGCAAGGAUCGUUCGGAGCAUAAGUUUUUGUAAGAAUUUGCAAUGAAUUCAACCAUUUCUUACAUUCCAGUAAAGGUUCAUCCAUUUCGGAAGACAAUAUCAUAUAAAUACCAUAGGAAUAAUGGAUUUAAAUCGAUCUCUUAGGACAUAUAUAGCUUCAACUGCUAAAAAGAGUCCUUCCCUUCCGGUUUGUAAGCAUUUAUUGGAACCACCAGAGCAGACCAAACCAGACCAGACCAUACCGGACCCGCUGCAGCAUCAUUCAAUCUGCCAUCCUGGCAGCCAUGCUGUCUGUCUGUGUGUGUUUGUGUGUGCCACAAGCCAGCCAGGAGAUGACCGCGACCGCGAAGGCAACGCACGACAGAGGCCACAAGCGGCCAAGAGGAAGGGGCAGAGGCAGUCAGGGAAGCAGGCAAUCGGCCAAACUGUCAGACAUGGUGCGUCGUUGUGUGCCAAAAGAGCAACCGCAGAGACAGGCGGACAAGCAGGCAACAGGCGCAAGUCAAGUGAAUGGCCAAUGACCACCAAAUUGGCAGUAAAGCAUACAAAAAUAACUUCAAAUGGUCAAAAGGUUAACAAAAUCAAGCAGAGAACAAGAAGAGAAGACAGCAGACAGCAGCAGCAGCAGCAGCCAGGCGGUGGCACCAAGAGACAGAGAGAGAACGGGAGAGAGAGAGAGAGAUGAGAAGCUGCUGGUGAUGCUGCAGCUGUCCCGAUCCCAGCCAGCGGCUGCGGCUGCAUGCCCCAUCAUGUUGCCAACAUUCCGUCAGAGCCACCAGCAGCAGCAGCCAAAGCAACAGUUGCCGUUGCAGUGUGUGUGUGGUGUGUGUGUGUGCCGCCGCCUGUUGCAAGCAACAUAAUCCCCGCAGCCAGUGUCUGCUGUGGCGUCGGCUGUGUGCGCAACGAAAAAAUGAUUAAUGAGUUGCCUCAUUACCUGGCGAAAAUCAAUGUCUUGCGCAUAUUCUGUGGGCCAAGAACCCGAGAGAAGAGCAGCUCCAUCCAAGACGGAGCCCCCAAACCUGUCACAGCCACUUGGCCAUGUCUGCGUUGUCGUUAGCCAUGUCGCUGCCGUCUCUUGUCGCCCUGCCGCCCUGCCGCCCUGUUGCCCCGUCGCUUGUUGUCGCAUAAUAAAUCGAUCAUAAUUCUGCAGACCCGAGACUCAAAUAUCGCAGUGUCGACGCUGAUUUCGAUGCUGAUUCUGAUUCCGAUUCUGAUUCUGAUUCGGAUCUGCUGCAGCUUGCAACGACGACAAUCAGCUCCUGUCGCACACGACGACAACAACGACAACGACGACGACAGCCACAUCAUCGGGGAGACCUCUGCUCUGACUGAUCUCUGAGUCGAUCUUUGCCGCACUUGGCUUCCCUUUUUGCUUUUAUUUUUCUUUUAAUUGCAGUCGCGCGCCGCCUGCUCCCCAUCUGGCCAGAGGCUGUUGCUGUUGCUUAUUUAUUAAACCGUUGACAUUCUGGUGACUGCAGGCGCCGCUGGCGCCUUUGAUAGCCAUCAGCCAUCAGUCGAUAUCCAGGCGCCUCGAAUUUAUGGCUACUGGUGGUGCUCAUUUGGCUGAGAAAUGAGCAAGGCUUAACGAAGGCUGUAUCGAUAGUAGGCAGAGCGAGAAAUCAUCGACUGCAACCCUACAAUAGCCAUUCGAUAGCUGGAGGAGCAGUGUACAGGAAGACUGAAUUUACUUCUUGAUUAUAUUACGAUUUUUAACCAUGAAUCUUCCCCAUUAAGUGUCGCAUAUCUGCCUGAGGUGAAAUUAGAAAGAGUGCGAGACUCCCAGACAAGCGGUAAUUGAACAAACGAUGGAUGAUAUCCACAGCGGGCCAAUAAACCGAUGCGAUUGAACUCUUUAUCGCUGCCACAGAGCGCCCCUUCGUUAUCUGUGGAAUGGAAUGGACUGAGGACUGGGGCAACUAUGUAAAUAUUGUAAAUCUAUAAAACCGAACCGAACGGCAGUGCCAAAAUGUAAGAAAAAUUCAAAGAUUUACGACUCGAGGGUUCUUUAUCGGUUACUGUUUCAGAGUUUACCUUUCCCACAUAGAACAGAUAUCUAUUCGGUCAAAAUGGCAGGGGAAGGGGAGGAUAUGGCUGUAGGAUUGUUGUACUUCAACCAAAAACCGAAAUAUUAAAGUCAACAACACAAAAUGGUUUGUGGUUUGCUGUGGCUGUUGCUCGGGCUCUGGCUCUGGCUCUGGCUCUGGCUGUCAGGCAGGCAGCACAAACAAGUUGAAUGGCAUUGCAAAUGUGUGUGCAACAUGAGGCAGGAGGAGGAGGAGGAGACAUGGCGAGGAGAAGGGCUGGCUACCAACUGCCAACAGCAGUUUGAUUGUUAUUGCCAAUGAAUGAAUGCACUUGCUCUGAGGAUUUGUCUGGCAGACCAACUUAUGAGUUGCCCCAGCUCCAUCUACAGCAGCAGCAUCAUCUCCCAACCAUUGCCUUGAGGGCUCUGUGUGGCAACAACACAUUUUGCGGUCUCCAGUUGCAGUUGCAAGUUGCAGCUUCUGCUGCCAUUGUUGUGGCUCUCUCUCCAGCUCCAGCUCCAGCUUCAGUGGCAGCUCCUAUCCUUUUGUGUGGCUGCUGCGUAAACCCUCAGGGGGUGCUUAUGCCGGCUCUUGUUGCAACUGUGUGUUGGCCAUGAAUUUGCUGCACAACAACAUUUCCGUUUUGGCCAUUAUAUGGCGCCCGGUUCUAUGAGAGUAGCCCCCCAUUGUCGCUGACAUUUUCACACUUUUGCCUGGAGACUGAGUCGAGUGGAGUGGAGUGAAUGCGCAGCAGAU